rnacentral:rRNA from 12 species
CAGGUUAGUUUUACCCUACUGAUGGAGUGUCGUCGUAAUGGUAAUUGAACUUAGUACGAGAGGAACCGUUCAUUCAGAUAUUUGGUAUUUGCGCCUGUCCGAUCGGGCAAUGGCGCGAAGCUAUCAUCUGCUGGAUAAUGGCUGAACGCCUCUAAGCCAGAAUCCGUGCCAGAAACGACGAUGUUGGUCCCGCGUGUACUAGACGUGUUGGAAUAGAGCUUCGGCUCGUGAACCACAUUUGGCGGAUUAGGCCGAUCUUGCGGAAAUGCUUGGUCGGUUCGUUCGUGUAUUGCAAUUUGAAUAUGCGCGGGGGUGAAUCUCUUGCAGACGACUUGAAUGGAACGGGGUACUGUAAGCG